GUUAAUGUGUUGCAGUUGGGAUAUGAGUGGUGACGAUUCCAAGUGCACCAAUAUGUCAUAAAUAAUAGAGCAGUGAUGAUUCGUCAUUUUUGCUACAGGUUCAUGGCAGCAGCGCAGGUCUUCUGUAAUGUCACCGUCUUGAACUCAUUGUUUCAUCCCGCGCAGCACUGAAGGUUCCUCAUCAGCAGAACUCGUGUCGUGUGUUACCUACAGUCUUGAAAUACUCACACAACCAAUAAGAAGAUAUUCGACAUGGCUGGACAAAAGAAGGAAUCAUAAGGCCAUACAAUAUAUUCUUAGGAAAUCCAGAGCUUCGAAACAUUGGAGCCAUUCGAACUCAUGGGUCGAAUCUGGCAGUCACUCGUCGCGUCUUUACCUUUGCUGGCGGCGGUUGUGGUGGUGAUAGGCGCCGCUGAGGAACUGGAGAAGCUGCAGCUGCGAGUGUUCCCGCGAUGGAGAGAGACAGCAUGGAUGGCUAGGCGGCGUCUCUGCCUAUGAAACGCUUGCUUCUCGCCUCGCCUUCUCUCCUAGGGUGAAUACUGGUUGAAAAUUUCCCUAUAUCUCAUUAUUCGGCUGUGACACAUGUGCACCUGCUCGUCAGACACAAACAUCUUCACGAGCUCCGGUGACGGCUGGGCGGCGCUAACGAGGUGCCGCUCACACAAAGCUUAACUCUUGAUGUGAGUGGA